rnacentral:sRNA from 1 species
UGAGAAUGAUGCUAGUGCUUAUUUUGCUGUUAAAAUAAAUAUCCUUUUUUAUGUUAAGGAAGCGCCCUUCUAUUUCUGGUUUGAUAUAUAUAUAUAUAUGUGUGUGUGUGUGUGUGUGUGUGUGUGUGUUUACCAGGAUUGAACUCGGUGCACUCCUUAACCACUGAGCCACAUCCCCAGCCCUUUUUGUAUUUUAUUCAGAAACAGGGUCCCACUGAGUUGCUUAGAGCCUCAA